rnacentral:rRNA from 1 species
UACAGAGGUCCCAAGCGUUGUUCGGAUUCAUUGGGCGUAAAGGGUGCGUAGGCGGCGCCGCAAGUCAGGUGUGAAAUCUCGGGGCUUAACCCCGAAACUGCAUUUGAUACUGCGGUGCUUGAGGACUGGAGAGGAGACUGGAAUUCAUGGUGUAGCAGUGAAAUGCGUAGAUAUCAUGAGGAAGGCCGGUGGCGAAGGCGGGUCUCUGGACAGUUCCUGACGCUGAGGCACGAAGGCCAGGGGAGCAAACGGG